rnacentral:lncRNA from 1 species
ACAUGGCUUCUUCGGUGGCUUGUGUACCGGAACUGGAGGUGGGUGCUCUAUCUUUGGCGGUGGCUUGUAAACCGGAACCGAAGGUGGGUGCUCUAUCUUUGGCGGUGGCUUGUAAACCGGAACCGAAGGUGGGUGCUCUAUCUUUGGCGGUGGCUUGUAAACCGGAACUGGAGGUGGGUGCUCUAUCUUUGGCGGUGGCUUGUAAACCGGAACCGGAGGUGGGUGCUCUAUCUUCGGCGGUUUAGGUGGACAAGGCUUCUUAGGAAUAGGCGGUGGAAGCUCCACCUUUGGUGAUGGCUCGUAAAUCGGGACAGGUGGGGGAACCUCUUUCUUUGGCGGUGGAUCGUAAACCGGAACCGGAGGCGGAACCUCUUUCUUUGGCGGUGGCUCGUAAACCGGAACCGGAGGUGGAACCUCCACAGGAGGGCUGAAUUUAGGUGGACAUGGCUUCUUGAGAAACGGUGGAAGUUCCAAAG